rnacentral:rRNA from 1 species
AUUGAACGCUGGCGGAAUGCUUUACACAUGCAAGUCGAACGGUAGAGGGGGCAACCCCUUGAGAGUGGCGAACGGGUGAGUAAUAUAUCGGAACGUGCCCAGUCGUGGGGGAUAACGUAGCGAAAGUUACGCUAAUACCGCAUACGAUCUAAGGAUGAAAGCGGGGGACCGUAAGGCCUCGCGCGAUUGGAGCGGCCGAUAUCAGAUUAGGUAGUUGGUGGGGUAAAAGCUCACCAAGCCGACGAUCUGUAGCUGGUCUGAGAGGACGACCAGCCACACUGGGACUGAGACACGGCCCAGACUCCUACGGGAGGCAGCAGUGGGGAAUUUUGGACAAUGGGCGAAAGCCUGAUCCAGCAAUGCCGCGUGCAGGAUGAAGGCCUUCGGGUUGUAAACUGCUUUGUACGGAACGAAAAGACUCUGGUUAAUACCUGGGGUUCAUGACGGUACCGUAAGAAUAAGCACCGGCUAACUACGUG